UUAAACUAUCAGCAUCCAAAGGGAGAAUGAAAUGACAGAGACGGUCCCAGGUAGGGCCUGCUGGGUGAACCUGGUCUGCUCAGAGGCCAGAGGCCUGACCGUAAAAGGAGGAAGGACGGUGGCCACCUCUAAGAACUCGCACUUUAGCCCAGUAAUUCCCAGCCCUUUUGCUAUUGCUGUCCCGGUCAUGGUCUGCUUUGAUGCCUACUCUAGCCCCAUGCCAAAUAUGUGUCAUGUGGCUGACAUCGUGAAUUGUCCCUCAGCUCAAACCUGAUUCUGCUCGAGAAUGGUUUCUGAAUAUAGAGAACUCUCAGACGUCAAACGAACAGGGUCAAGAAUCUCGGCCGUGGCAACCAGAAAGUUCUAGAAGAUCACCAAAGGAGAGAUGGGAAUAGGAGCUCAGAUGAGGAGGGCAAAGCCUCCACCACCCAGGGGUCCCUUUCUGGGGGAAGUGACCGAGUGGAGUCUGGAAGAAGAGGAGGAGCCUGAAAACCGGCCCCUGGCUGGGACCGGUGGCCUUCUCCGAGAGGCCCCAGGCUGGGCCCGAGCCCCAGGGGGACAGGGCAGGCACAUCCCUGCUUCUCAGGAGCAAGAAGGUGACGCCUGCUGCUUCCUAGAACAUUGCGGUUCGGACGUUUCCCACUUUGCCGACCGAGCUCUGAAGAGCUGCACGUGGUCGAUAGGGAAGUGCCGUUCGGGCGGCGGGGAGAGGCCAUCCCCUCUCUCUGCACGUCUCUAGUUUCGGCUUGGAUAUCAAUUAUAGGCUUUUACAUAAGAAGGCUAAUGCGCUUUCAAAGCAGGCAGAUCACCCCCCUCCCCCCCCAUGUUUUGACAGUUUGGCUUGAGUUGAAAUAUAAUUAAACUUUUCGAAAACAAGGGCUUUGAAACUCAA